UUGUAAACAGAUCUAAUUUCACAUUUUUAGCUUUGUGUUAUUGUUUCUGGGUUAAUUAGAACUUAAACGCUGAUUUCGAUUGCUUUUUCUUUGCUCAUUUGAUUCGCUGGGUUUACAGAUCCAAACAAAACCUGCCCAACGCAACCUCCGUCUCCGUCUCUGUCUCUGUCUCUGCUCCGAGCGGAGCUGCCGAGCACUUUUGACCGGGCGGAGCUGCAGAGAUGUUGCUUGUUUAAUUUGGCGGCAUUCUCUAUAAUGAGUGAGUUGUUGAGCUCAAAGUCCGGGAUUCUGAACUUGAUCAAGACGGUGUCGUUAACAAUGCUGUUUAUGCAAGUUAUGGCCAACAUGGUGAGUUAAAACGUUUCAUUUGAAUCUAGCUAAUUACACCUUUUUUUUACAGGAGCUAUUCAUUUCAAAUUUUCCCUCUUCCAUAUGUCACCGGGGGGAUUCUUCCUGUCGAAUUUGUGCUCUCAGCUAGCGAUUGGUACGCAGACGGGACGGGACGAAACAAAGAUUCAUGUCAUGUUAGGUACUGGCAAGAUGGAAUAGAACGAAACUGGAUUAAAUGACUAACUUACCCUUGUUGUCCCUUAUCCA